CCUACGGGGUGCAGCAGUGCGGAAUAUUGGUCAAUGGACGAGAGUCUGAACCAGCCAAGUAGCGUGAAGGAUGACUGCCCUAUGGGUUGUAAACUUCUUUUAUAUGGGAAUAAAACGUUCCACGUGUGGGAUUUUGUAUGUACCAUAUGAAUAAGGAUCGGCUAACUCCGUGCCAGCAGCCGCGGUAAUACGGAGGAUCCGAGCGUUAUCCGGAUUUAUUGGGUUUAAAGGGAGCGUAGGUGGAUUGUUAAGUCAGUUGUGAAAGUUUGCGGCUCAACCGUAAAAUUGCAGUUGAAACUGGCAGUCUUGAGUACAGUAGAGGUGGGCGGAAUUCGUGGUGUAGCGGUGAAAUGCUUAGAUAUCACGAAGAACUCCGAUUGCGAAGGCAGUUCACUGGACUGCAACUGACACUGAGGCUCGAAAGUGUGGGUAUCAAACAGGAUUAGAUACCCUAGUAGUC
rnacentral:rRNA from 1 species